rnacentral:rRNA from 1 species
GACGUAGGGCGCGAGCGUUGUCCGGAUUUAUUGGGCGUAAAGGGCUCGUAGGCGGCCAACUAAGUCGGAUGUGAAAUCCCCAGGCUCAACUUGGGAACUGCAUCCGAUACUGGAUGGCUUGAAUUCGGGAGAGGGAUGCAGAAUUCCAGGUGUAGCGGUGAAAUGCGUAGAUAUCUGGAGGAAUACCGGUGGCGAAGGCGGCAUCCUGGACCGACAUUGACGCUGAGGAGCGAAAGCUAGGGGAGCAAACGGG